UCCCCACGCACGCCCGCACCCCUCCCUCCUCCCUCGCUCGUCUCAGCCGCCACCCCCACGAACCCUAGCCGCCACCCCCACGAACCCUUAGCCGCUCCCUUCCUUCAUCCGUCCUCCUCCCCCUCCCUGCUACGAGCCCCUCCCCGGCGGCCGCGAGCUCCUCCUCCUCCGUUCUCGCUUGCUCCAACCCGAGCACGCUGGCGGAGACACGAACCGUGAGGCCCCGGAGCAGUUCAGCCAGCACCGCAAGACCCCGGAGCAGUUCAUCCAGUACAGAUCCCCUCCGUACAAGAGGAAACCCGUGGCCAAUCCAGCCAACAACGACGACGCGUAGGAGAGCUCGACCUUGAUGAGGAAAGCAGCGGGGUUGGUGCAGCAGCGAAGGUCGGGGUCGGCCGUGGAGGGAGGCUUGCUGGCCGAAGCAGCAAGAGCAAGAAGGUUGAGGUGGUUCAGAAACUGAAUGCAUAUAAGAAUCGAGGACCUUCACAGUGGCUUCAUGAUGAUGAUCAUCUACCGAGGCAUCAAGAUGAGCACAUACAUCAUCUUGGACAAGCAGAUGUGAAUUUCUUCUCGCAUCCCGAGUACAUAUGUGAGGCUAUGGGAGUACUUUUUCAUGUGAUGAUGGGAGGAACGAAUUGUACCAUGUGAACAAUCGCUGGAAUAAGCUGGUCAAUGCAGGAAACUCUGAAAGAAAGCGACUAAAAUCAACAUUUGAAGGUACAUCCUGUAUUAUGUUACUACAGAAAUUGACAUUGUGGUCUGUUAUUGGGAAUCAUGAGUUUCCUGAUAGUGAGACCCAUUAGUAAGAAUUUGUUUAGACAGAAGUUCCUAUAUAGAUGUGAUGUACUGGUGUUUUGAUCCAUUGUCUCACCCAUACUUCACCUAUCUGGAUUAUUUAGCUCGAGCAAUUUGCAGAAUCUUAUACUUCAAUAAGUACAACAAUAUUAAUUUUUGGAGUAGUAGAGUAGUCAUAUAUAGGUAUAUGACGUUAGUCAUGAUCGCACCUAUAUGUUGUGUGGGUUCGGCAUAUCCUAAUUACUGAAGCAAAAAUCAGUGCCAUGAAAGAUUAAUUUGAGAAAAUUUAAUCUAGCAUUUCUUUCAUAUGAACUUAAGGGGAAGGCGCUUAUUUCACAGGCUAAGGUUUCUGUUGGUUACUUCUUCUUUUUGCCCUUCAGUUCAUCGAAAAAUGAAGAGGAUCAUGCCUUUCUGUUGGAAUUGCUUUUCUGGUUUAAGCAAUCAUUCAGGUUAUUGAAAUACUCUGAUGCCUCUUUUCUUCGGUCAUUACUAAUGAUGAGUGUCGUGUGUCUGAUACGGUUUCAUGAGAGUAAUUACCAGUAGUGAGAGCUUUCAGAUUAGGGAUUACGAAUAUGAAGUAGAUGUGCCUUAUAUAUAGACGCCUAACAAUUAAAAAACUAAUACUUAUCUCUAAUCAUCCUUACAUGCAUACAUGCAUGCGAGAUAUCUCUGUUUUCAGACCCUCUCUCUGUUACACAUUUCCAUGAAAAAACAAAAGUAAAAGGGAAAACUCACUUUUGGUUCAUAUGGUGCAGACCAGCAAGCGAUUGUUAAUGAAAGGUUUGAUUUGCAGGUAUACUGAAAUCAAGGUCUUUUAUCUAACUGGUUGGAUAACUACUUUUCAGGUCUAUGCCUUUAACUAAAAUUAAGCAUUUAAUUACUGUUCUGUUGUGUUAUUGAUUUCACCGCUUUUAUGUCAGCCGAUUAGUUCUGAAGGAUUCCACAACGGCUAAUUUAGAUUAUGCAACUUUCGACCAAAAAUAAUUAUUGACAUGUAUAUUUAUCAAGAUCUUUUAUCUAAUUGGUUGGAUAACUACUUUUCAGCUUCAACAUUUGGCUCAUUCUUGUUUUUGGUAAUGUUUUCUUGAUAGUGGAGCAGUCAUGGACCUGUUAUAGAGAUCUUGGUGAAAAACUUGUCACUGCAAUUCAGUCAAAUGGGUGUUGAGAUUGAAGUUUCUGCUUUUGUUGACUUUCUGAUAAAUUACAAAAACAUCGACAAGGUUAUGUGGGAGCCUUUUAUAGAGUCCUCAUGUUUUCAGUUAAAUAUACUUCGAAAAUGUGUUUUUCAUGCACUGGAUGUAUCUCCCAGUACUGUGGUGUCGCUAAAUUCAAGCAAGCAGCUUAAUGUUAACAUAUCAGAGCCCUUCAUCGAGGUACAUGAUCUUGGCAUACUGUAUUUUUCAAACUUGUCAAGAGAUAAAUUAUUGUUCUGUCCUAUCUUCAAGUGAUUAACAUUAUAGUUUUCUGCUGCCACUGUCAUCUUGAUUAAUGUGAUUCAGGAAUCAGGGCAGUGGUCUGCGGAUAGAAUGUAGCUAUAUAUCUUAUCUCGGGGAGCAUCACACCUAUUUAGCUUAGAAGUUUUUUUUCUUACAUUAAACUCAGCAGUGUGUGAUAAUUCGAGACAAGGGGAUUGAUGAUGACACAGACUCAGUCUUAGGGCUUGGCUUCUUACCGGUGGAGAGCUCCUCCAUGUUUAAAAUAGCAUGUUUUAGUUCUGAUUACAACCAUAUAGGUAUUCAUGUAUAAGAUUGUUUGCUUUCAGUUCUGGUUAAAUCAUCUUGGAUGAUCAAUCAAAUUUCCAGUGAUGAUACUCUAGCCUUCAUCGAGGUACAUGAUCUUGGCAUACUGUAUUUUUCAAACUUGUCAAGAGAUAAAUUAUUAUUCUGUCCUAUCUUCAAGUGAUUAACAUUAUAGUUUUCUGCUGCCACUGUCAUCUUGAUUAAUGUGAUUCAGGAAUCAGGGCAGUGGUCUGCAGAUAGAAUGUGGCUAUAUAUCUUAUCUCGAGGAGCAUCACACCUAUUUAGCUUAGAAGUUUUUUUUCUUACAUUAAACUCAGCAGUGUGUGAUAAUUCGAGACAAGGGGAUUGAUGAUGACAGAGACUCAGUCUUAGGGCUUGGCUUCUUACCGGUGGAGAGCUCCUCCAUGUUUAAAAUAGCGUGUUUUAGUUCUGAUUACAGCCAUAUAGGUAUUCAUGUAUAAGAUUGUUUGCUUUCAGUUCUGGUUAAAUCAUCUUGGAUGAUCAAUCAAAUUUCCAGUGAUGAUAAUCUAGCGGAUCAGGCUUCUAAACCACUAUCACUUUCCUGACAGAAGUUGUGCAUGUAGUACAUGUUUUUGGUUUAGCAAAGCUCUUUUUUAGUUAGAGAUCAAUUUUGAAGACUAACAUGUCAUAUGAAUGCCACCAGCUUAGCAAAAGCCUUGAUCUUUCCAAUUUUGUAGGUUGAGGGAAUACUUUGCUACUUCAAAAUCUCCAGAUAAAAGUUGAAGAAUUCGUACGAUAAUCGAUUGGAAACAUAUAUCUAGCAGUUCAUUUUUUUCAUGCGCACAAUGGGAUAAAUUGAUGUAACACAAGCCUUUACAAUUUAGUGCUGUUGUUAUAGAAUCGGGAGACUUGCUUUGUUACCGUACUUAGAGUUGCCGAUUUCUUACUAUAGUAAUAGCCAGGAAGGUUUGUAGUCAACUUAUCUGCAGUUGUAAUUAGUCGACUUAUGCUGCUUAAAUUAUUGUUCUUUGGUGACCAGUGAAUGGGCAAUUGACUCUUGCCUAUAUGGCCGAUCUAAUUGUUCGGAAAAUCUUCAGCACAUUGUAAUACGAAAGGUUUUGAUU